AAACCAGCACCUCAAGUGGUCAGGAUGAUUAUUGGGCCUAAAGCAUCCGUAGCCGGCUCUGUAAGUUUUCGGUUAAAUCUGUACGCUCAACGUACAGGCUGCCGGAAAUACUGCAGAGCUAGGGAGUGGGAGAGGUAGACGGUACUCGGGAGGAAGGGGUAAAAUCCUUUGAUCUCUCGAUGACCACCUGUGGCGAAGGCGGUCUACCAGAACACGUCCGACGGUGAGGGAUGAAAGCUGGGGGAGCAAACCGGAUUAGAAACCCGAGUAGUCC
rnacentral:rRNA from 1 species